rnacentral:rRNA from 1 species
AGCGUUGCUCGGAAUUACUGGGCGUAAAGGGAGCGUAGGCGGAUAGUUCAGUCAGAGGUGAAAGCCCAGGGCUCAACCUUGGAACUGCCUUUGAUACUGGCUAUCUUGAGUACGGGAGAGGUGUGUGGAACUCCGAGUGUAG